UCGCGGCCGCUGAUUGGUCGGCCGCGAAACGGCGGGAACGCAGCGAUCUAUCGAAGCGGCGAAAACGCGCGCUCGCGCUUGCGCGAUGCGCGACAAGACGCGCUCUCGCCCGCGAGACGGUUGUGAUUUCGCGCUCUUUUCUUCAGUGGUUUUUCGACUUUACGUCCACUUAUCCCGGACCCUUCAAAUUUCGAUCCUCGGCGUAAAUUUUCAUCUGGAAACUCACCAGGUCCGACGUUCUUUUAUGAAAAUUGAAUCGCGUGUCCUUCGGCUGUAUCCCCUUGUCGUGCCACCAACCAUAACUGGAAAUUGUCAGAAUUCAUCGUUGGAGCGACAAAUAAUGAAGAAAUUGACGGUGCUAAAUUGCGGAAAAAAUAAGAAUUACGUGUGACUGGUCAACAGUGAUUCUCCCAAUUUAACUUUUGCAUACUUGACGUAUCUUCAACGACUUCAAGAGAUGAAGACGUACCAUUCGUUUUCGAUACGCAAGUGUUGGAUCUUCCGGUUUGUUGGCUUCUCGAGAAACACAACUUGAAGGGUGGUCUCUCCUUUUUCGACGUUACUGGUCUCGAAUCGUACGAAUCCGUUUGUUGGUCGGACAUAUUUUGAAAAUACGACGACAAACUUCCGCCCCGAUUGUCCGCCCUGACGAUCCACGACUGAGUGUCUCCGCCUAGGAUUAAGGCCGUCGAGGACGUGCGUGCUGCGACGUAUGGGAGUCACCUAUUUGAUCGAUAUUGCCUGCGAAAUAACAUUGUUGGAAAUAAGGAAACGUGGGUGACAAAGCGUCCUCGUCUCGAAGAAUCGCGUUGCAUGCUUAUUAUUUUGCACAAGGUAGCCAGAAUCGCAAAGAAACGGGGGAAGAUUCGUAGGAGCAUUCAGACGAAGGACAAGAGUUAAGAAUAUAGAGGUUCGACUGUAUCUCGGGGAAAAGAUAUCACGAACUAUUUAGAGUAGGAAUGCGACAUUUCACUUUUACUUCUUCUUUUACUCGAAAUGACCUUCCCGACG